rnacentral:rRNA from 1 species
CUACGGGAGGCAGCAGUGGGGAAUCUUCCGCAAUGGACGAAAGUCUGACGGAGCAACGCCGCGUGAGUGAAGAAGGUUUUCGGAUCGUAAAGCUCUGUCUUUGAGGACGAAUGUGCUUAAUGUGAAUAAUGUUAAGUAAUGACGGUACUCGAGGAGGAAGCCACGGCUAACUACGUGCCAGCAGCCGCGGUAAUACGUAGGUGSCAAGCGUUGUCCGGAAUUAUUGGGCGUAAAGCGCGCGCAGGCGGGAUAUUAAGUCUGUUUUAAAAGUUCGGGGCUCAACCCCGUGAUGGAAUGGAAACUAAUAUUCUUGAGUGCAGGAGAGGAAAGUGGAAUUCCCAGUGUAGCGGUGAAAUGCGUAGAUAUUGGGAGGAACACCAGUGGCGAAGGCGACUUUCUGGACUGUGUCUGACGCUGAGGCGCGAAAGCCAGGGGAGUGAACGGGAUUAGAUACCCCGGUAAUCCUGGCCGUAAACGAUGGGUACUAGGUGUAGGAGGUAUCGACCCCUUCUGUGCCGGAGUAACGCAAUAAGUACCCGCAUG